GGCAUCCUCAUGUUUACCUUUUGCCAUUCAACCAUAUUUUUCAUCAAAUGCAGCCAUCACAUACAAGGGUAUCCAUCAAUUCGUAUCUUCCGUAAAGGAAGUGAUAUCAGAGAUGACCAUGGAGAUCAUGAUUAUGAGUCCUAUUAUGGAGAUCGUGAUACAGAUAGCCUAGUCAAGACAAUGGAGAAGUUAGUGGCUUCUCUCCCUGCAGG